AUGGCUCAGGAUGAACGCUAGCUACAGGCUUAACACAUGCAAGUCGAGGGCAGCAUGAUCUAAGCUUGCUUAGAUUGAUGGCGACCGGCGCACGGGUGAGUAACGCGUAUCCAACCUUCCCUAUAGUAGAGGAUAGCCCGGCGAAAGUCGGAUUAAUACUCUAUGUUUUCCAAUGCAGACAUCUAAGUUGGAACAAAGGUUUACCGCUAUAGGAUGGGGAUGCGUCUGAUUAGAUAGUAGGCGGGGUAACGGCCCACCUAGUCGACGAUCAGUAGGGGUUCUGAGAGGAAGGUCCCCCACAUUGGAACUGAGACACGGUCCAAACUCUUACGGGAGGCAGCAGUGAGGAAUAUUGGUCAAUGGGCGAGAGCCUGAACCAGCCAAGUAGCGUGCCAGGAUGACGGCCCUAUGGGCUGUAAACUGCUUUUAUCGGGGGAUAAAGUGAGGGACGUGUCCCUUAUUGUAGGUACCCGAUGAAUAAGGACCGGCUAAUUCCGUGCCAGCAGCUGC
rnacentral:rRNA from 1 species